UCUAGAGAUAGAGUUUUCCCUUCGGGGACAGAGUGACAGGUGGUGCAUGGUUGUCGUCAGCUCGKGUCGUGAGAAGUUGGGUUAAGUCCCGCAACGAGCGCAACCCUUAAGCUUAGUUGCCAUCAUUAAGUUGGGCACUCUAAGUUGACUGCCGGUGACAAACCGGAGGAAGGUGGGGAUGACGUCAAAUCAUCAUGCCCCUUAUGAUUUGGGCUACACACGUGCUACAAUGGACAAUACAAAGGGCAGCGAAACUGCGAGGUCAAGCAAAUCCCAUAAAVUUGUUCUCAGUUCGGAUUGUAGUCUGCAACUCGCCUACGUGAAGUCGGAAUCGCUAGUAAUCGCAGGUCAGCAUACUGCGGUGAAUACGUUCCCGGGCCUUGUACACACCGCCCGUCACACCAC
rnacentral:rRNA from 1 species